CUGAACGCUGGCGGGCGUGGUUAAGACAUGCAAGUCCGUACGGAUGUAGCAAUACAUCAGUGGCGGACGGGUGUGAGUAAUGUAUCGCUAAUGUGCCCCGGACACUGGGAUAGCCAGCCGAAAAGGCUGGGUAAUACCAGAUGAUAUAUCCCGAUGGCAUCUUCGGGAUCUCAAAGGGCCGCAAGGCGGUUCUGGGAGCAGGCGAUAUCGUAUCAGCUAGUUGGUGAGGUGGUAACGGCUCACCAAGGCGACGACGCGGUAGCCGGACUGAGAGGUUGGCCGGCCACAUUGGGACUGAGACACUGCCCAGACUCCUACGGGGGGCUGCAGUAAACGAAUCUUCGUCAAUGCAACGAAAAGUGUGAACGAGCGACGCCGCGUGGGAGGAUGAAGUCCUUCGGGAUGUAAACUCCUGUCAGAGGAAAGAAAGUUCUGAUCUACCUCAGAGGAAGUGGCGGCUAACUCUGUGCCAGCAGCCGCGGGUAAGAACAGAGGCCACAAGCGGUUAGGCGGAAUCACUGGGCUUAAAGCGUGUGUAGGUGGAUGGCUAAAGUGCCUUUUGUGAAAAUCCCCCGGCUCAACCCGGGGAACCGCUGGGCAGACUGGUCGUCUUGAGCCACCUAGGGGCAACUGGAACGAACGGUGGUGAGCGGUGGAAUGCGUAGAUAUCGUUCGGAACGCCAACGGUGAAAAACAGGGUUGCUGGGGGGUGUGCUGACACUGAGACACGAAAGCCCAGGGGAGCAAACGGGAUUAGAUACCCCGGUAGUCCUGGCCCGUAAACGAUGUCCACUAGAUCGUAGUGGCCUUUGACGGGCAUUACGGUUCGAAGCAAAAAGUGCUAAGUGGACCGCCUGGGAAGUACUGGUCGCAAGGCUAAAACUCAAAAGGAAUUGACGGGGGCUCACACAAGCGGUGGAGCAUGUGGUUCAAUUCGAAGCAACGCGCAGAAACCUUAACCUGGGCUUGACAUGCUAGGAUUAUCUCGGUGAAAGCCGAGUAGGCCCCGCAAGGGGUACAACUAGUACAGGUGCUGCAUGGCUGUUCGUCAGCUCGUGUCGUGAGAUGUCGGGUUAAGGUCCCUUAACGAGCGAAACCUUUACCCUUAGUUACCAGCGGGUUAUGCCGGGGACUCUAAGGGGACUGCCGGUGUCAAACCGGAGGAAGGUGGAGAUGACGUCAAGGUCCUCAUGGCCUUUAUGGCCCAGGGGCCACACACGUGCUACAAUGGCGUACACAGAGCGAACCUAAACUGCAAAGUCAUGGAAAUCGCAGAAAUUAACGCCCCCAGUUCAGAUAGGAGGCUGCAACUCGCCUCCUUGAAGUUGGAAUCGCUAGUAAUCGCGGGAUCAGCUACGCCGCGGUGAAUGUGUUCCUGAGCCUUGUACACACCGCCCGGUCAAGUCCAUGGGAGCCGGAAAAUAGCCGAGGUCGCCCUCACUACUGGGGUGCCGACGCUAGGUUCGGUGACUGGGACU
rnacentral:rRNA from 1 species